CCAAACCUUGGACAUAAGAACAAGUAUAGCUCCAUAGCAUAAUUAACCUUCAAAAUUAAAACCCUAAAGAAAGCAAGUGGGAACAUGCAUGCCAAUUAUUUAAAAUUUGUAUUACUAGUUAAUCAAAUUUAGAAACAUGGGCCACAUUUUUAUAUUAUUUGCCCAUAAUUAAUUAUUUCUCGUACUCUUAAUAAGCUCCAUUGUCAAAUUGGGUGUGCCCUUAGAGCCCUAUAUAUAGUAAACCCUAAACCAAUAUUUCCAUCACAACACACCAAAGCUCUCUCUCUCU
rnacentral:lncRNA from 1 species